rnacentral:rRNA from 1 species
GAUGAACGCUGGCGGCGUGCCUAAUACAUGCAAGUCGAACGCAUUGUGGUUGAAAUGAUAUGAAGAACUUGUUCAGAUUUGAUUUUCAACAUUGCAAUGAGUGGCGAACGGGUGAGUAACACGUGGGAAACCUACCUCUUAGCAGGGGAUAACAUUUGGAAACAAAUGCUAAUACCGUAUAAUAAUUAAAAACCGCAUGGUUUUAGUUUAAAAGAUGGUCUUGCUAUCACUAAGAGAUGGUCCCGCGGUGUAUUAGUUAGUUGGUGAGGUAAAUGGCUCACCAAGACAAUGAUACAUAGCCGAGUUGAGAGACUGACCGGCCACAAUGGGACUGAGACACGGCCCAUACUCCUACGGGAGGCAGCAGUAGGGAAGUCUUCCACAAUGGACGAAAGUCUGAUGGAG